UGCCUUGCAUGGUAUGUGUACUCAGCAACUCCAUCCUGCUGGUGUGUUCAAAGAACAGCGCCAUAGAAAUUCGCUAUCUGGCAUUGUUGGUUUUCUUGGCUUUGGCACUUAUUAAACCUGGUAUUUCUGUUGAUACAGUU
ensembl:snoRNA